GUCCCGUGAGGCUCAGUUGGUAGAGCAACGCACUUGCAAUGCCAGGGUUGUGGGUUCAACUCCCACAGGGGACC
rnacentral:tRNA from 1 species